rnacentral:lncRNA from 1 species
UCCUUGCCUGUCUGCUUGCAUAGAAGUAGAUCUAUUUCUUUCCUAUCCUCUGUCUCUCUCUGAAUUCAUUCUGCACGGAGGCAUAAAGAACCUGAACCUCAGUAAACCCAGACAUCAGAGCCACACCCACAGCUUAUGGAAGAUCCCAGGCUGGGGGUUGAAUCAGAGCUGCAUCUGCCGGCCUCCACCACAGCCGCAGCAACACCAGAUCCAAGCCGUAUUUGCGACCUACACCACAGCUCACGGCCUUAACACACUGAGCAAGGCCAGGGAUCAAACCUGCGUCCUCAUGGAUACUAGUCAGAUUCAUAACCCGCUGAGCCACUCCCCAAAUUUGCAUUUCUAACAAGCUCCCGGGUAAUGUUGAUGCUGCUGGUUCAGGUACCACACUUUGAAAAGCACUGAUGCUAGUGGAUAUGGGUUCUGGGGUCAGGCUGCCUGGCUUUGAAUUGAAAUCAACUCAACUGCUUACUUGGCUGUGGGACCUUUGAUGACUUUGUCUCUCUGAGAAUCAGUUUUCUCAUCUAUAGAAUUAGGUAAGUAGGGAUGCUAAUAGUAGUAUUUGCCUCAGGUGUUUCUCGUAAGAGUGAAAAAAGUUAGGCAUAUAAAGCACUGCCCGAAGUAAGGAAGCACUUAAUAGGCAUUAGCUAUUAUGAUCCGUAACAUUUAAACAUUUUCCAACGAGUUAUUACUACAUGGAUGCUUUUAUAAAUGAAGAUGAGUAAGAAAAGAUCCCUGUGUAUUUAUGCAUAUACAGAAUAUUUGCAUAUGGUUUCAAGUGGCUCACUGACCAUCCCCCCCCCCACAAGCUCAUCCUUCUUACUAUCUCUUUAGUAGAUUGUGAUAGAAUGGUACUUCUGAGCCUCCACUAUGUUGCUCGAAGUAUGCCUGGUAAUUUACACUAAGUUACUUCAUUCCAUCCCCACAAUCUCUUCCUAUUUUACAGACAAAAUAAUUGUGGCUCAGAAAACAGCCAAGAGAGUGUUGGGAGUCAGGACUUGGGCUCAGACCCAUCAGACCCUACAUCGCACUGCCCCUAUUCACUUCCCGGGAACUAGUCUAUCACCCAUUUAUCUAGAAGGAGGCAUUUAGCGCUAACUAAGGGCUGGGACAUGCCCAGGAGAGAUAAAUGCUGCCUUCUGACCACAAAGAACUUGUAUCUCAGUGAGGGAUCUAGAGGACCUUAUACAUAUGCAAACAGGAUGUGAUCACAGGCCAAAUCCUGAGUGUGGCGGAGAGGUGAAGCGGUUCAUCAGGUGGUCCUUUGCUUUUCACAUUUCCCAGCCGCGGUUGAAGGUAUCUCGGGACCAUGUGACUGGGUUCCAGCCCGUGAGUGCGGGUGAGAGUGACAAGUCAUUUCCAGGCUUGGCCCUCAUACAAGUGUCGUGUGAUCACUCCUUUCUUUCUCGUCCUUGGCAGCAGCGAUUUCAGAAGCCACGUGUUCCAGGUGGCAUAACUUAGGAUGGGGAAGGACCACUCAGCUGGUAUCGGAGGGAGAUGGGAUGAAAAGAUAAACUUCUACGGGUUAAAGCCACUGAGACUGGCUACUGCCAUGUGGGGUAGCCUCCCCUGACCGGCCCCAUGGCAUAACCACUGUUACAUAGUGAGAAGUUCUUGGAAGAUGAGUGAGUCCCGGGACAUUCAGGUGUUAAAUCCGCUGAAGGUCCCAAACUCUAAACCUAGGAAGUCAAAAUAUUUAGGGAAGAGCCCCGGGAGUCUUUAUUUGUAAUAAGGUGAUAUUGAGGACUGGCUGGGUUUGGAAAUCUGGCUUUGUGGUCUGCUCGAUAUUUCCCAGAAAAUUUCUCACAACAGAGACACUAUCACGUGACCCUCUAGAAGGCAAGUUGUGGGAGAUGGGGGCAGCCCAGAGGGCUAAGGAUCUGGCCUUGUCCCUGCAGUGGCACGGGUUCAAUCCCUGGCCCUGGAACUUCUGCAUGCCACGGGCACAGCCACAAAUAAAAUUUUAAAACAUAAAUUUACAAAAACCAAAAAACAAUUCCAAGACAGAGCUGGUGUUAAAUGUCACAUUCCUUCCAGGACGACCCCCCCAGACUCUCCAGCUCAGUGGACAGUGUGAUCACACGGGGGCAAGCCUGACCCUGACUGUGUCCGUGAUGCUGUGAGUCUCCGAGCCCCUGGCACGUGCCUUGGCUGACUUGUCUCUGGAGCCCUGUCCCCUUGCCUCCACGCCCUCUCCAGCUCCCUUCUCUGGUUCCCUGUGUUCAGUUCAGACAAGCUCAGGGAUUCCUGUGCAGAUCUCGCCUUUGAUGGCUGAGCUGCAAGGGAGGCGGGGCUGGGCUGAGGGUCCUGGAGGAGGUGGACGGAGUGGGGCGGGGGCAGGCAGGUAGAAGAAAUCAAAGGGCUUUACAUCAAAGGCGAGAGGAACCGGUUAGCCGAGGAUGCUCCAUCCUCUGAGACCCGAUCUGCGCUCCGAUUCGUGAAUCUUAGUUAAGUUUCAGAAACUAAGGGACUGCUGGACCUUCUGCCUAACGAACGUGUUUACUGAAAAGAUUCAGGGAUGUAACUAAGAUACAGCUCCCAGGGAGCUCUGCAGGGAAGAGAGUUCAAGUUCUAGAAGGCAGGACACAGCCGUGAGGAUGUCAAGGUUCAGGCUCUCUGACAACACAAACGAGGUCAUUUCAGCAAGUGUGAUCCAGCACAAUGAGGAUGCUGUGCCAGGGGCCUGGGGGCUGCCGUGGUUGGGCUGUGGAGGCGGCCUCUCUGAGCAGUUCAUGUUUGGGGGGAAGCACUGGGCAGCCAUGCGGAUCUAGGGGGAGAGCAUUCUGGGGAGAGGGGAGAGCUGGUGCAAAGGGCCUAAUGCAAAAAAAAAAAAAAA